UACGUAGGAGGCGAGCGUUGUCCGGAAUUACUGGGCGUAAAGAGCGCGUAGGCGGCACGGUACGACCGGUGUGAAAGCCCCCGGCUCAACUGGGGAGGGUCACCGGUAACGGCCGAGCUACGAGUGCAGGAGAGGGAAGUGGAACUCCGGGAGUAGCGGUGAAAUGCGUAGAUAUCAGGAGGAACACCUGUGGUGUAGACAGCUUACUGGACCAUUUCUGACGCUGAGACACGAAAGCGUGGGUAGCAAACAGG
rnacentral:rRNA from 1 species